CUUGUCUCUUCCAUUGGCUGCAAAAACAAAAACAUUAAAACCCUUUCAAUGACUUACUGAAAUCUCAAUCUCAAUCAAAAUCAAAAUCAAGACCAAUUCCCUACUUCUUCAUAUCCCAAUAAUCCUAAACCAGAGAAUCUAAUUCUUCUAUAUCUAAUUCAAAAAAGCACAUAGGGCAUUCCCCAGAAACAAAAUCCCCUACUUUCAGAUACCCAACAAUCUCAAUUGCAUGUAUCUCUAAACCAAGCCCAAUCUUUCACCCCUCUGGUAAAUUAUUGUACACGCCCAAAAAUCCCAUCCUUCUUCCUCUUUUCGUUCUUAUUUUGCUUUCUCUCCUUUGCCUCUUAUUUCCUUCCCGUCUCCCUCUUCUGCUUCUUCCUCUUUCCCUUCUUCCCCUGUUCUCUUCUCUCUCUGCUUUUUUUUUUUUUUUUGUCUCCUCGGUUUCUCUGUGUCGGUCUCCUCUAUUUUUUUUUCUCCAUGCAUAUAUAGGCUGCGUUUUGGGGGGGGGGGCUUUUAAGCUCCCUUGCUUAUAAGAAUAUAAGCGAAGCACAUCGAUGUGUUUGGUAAACUAAGAAAGGACCUUCUUUGCUUCUAAGCCCAGGCUUUUUCAGAGCAAAAGCAGAAGCCCGGCUAGUCGGCUACCCCUGCUUUUAGAAGCAGAAGCUGGAAUUGUAGCGGGGAAACUGUAGCAGAGUUUUAAUGAAAUUUUCAAAAUACCAAAAGCUACCGUCAUGGAUUCAGAUUAAUUACAACCUGAUACCAAGAACUACUCUUCCAUUCGAUCACUUGUCCUUUCUCUGUUCCAGUUACUUCUCUGGAGCCUACAUUUCCGACUUGGAGAGCUCAGGAGAGAAAGUGGUCGCCGUAAUCAUGGUUGGAGGCCCAACUAAAGGCACAUGUGUCAUCUCAAUUUCCCUCAAUUUAGUUAAAGUUUGGAUCUUUUUGAAGCUUUUGUGGGUUUUCAAUUUUCUGGGCAGGGAUUUUCAGCCUCUAUCAAUCAACACGCAGAAGCCACUAUUCCCAUUGGCUGGGCAAGCUAUGGUUCAUCAUCCAAUCUCAACUUGUAAAAAGGUAAGCUUUUUCUUAAUGGGAUUUUGAUUUUGCCAUCAGUACUAGUUUAGGGUCUAAAUUGUAGAUAACCCAAUUUGGCUCAAAAUUUUCUAUUGGGUUUUAUGAGGAGCGCGAGUUUGCACUCUAUGUUUCUUCAAUUUCCAAUAAGCUUAAAGUAUGAGUGAGGUGUACUUGAAAGAGGGUCAGUAUCUCUUAUGAAGAAUUGAUUGUGGCGUGGUCCAAGGUCUCUUUGCAAUGCUUGUGGGCUCUUCUGGGCAAACAGGGACAGUAUAUCUUAUGAUGAAUUGAUUGCUUGUUUUCUUUUAUUGCUUUGUUUUUUAGAGGGUUGGUUUCUGUUGGUUUACUGGAAUUAUUGUUAGUUAGAAUUAUGGAUGAGGAUUGAGAACUUAGAAGGAGUAAUUGAUAAUGCUGCCUGGGAUGUUGUUUGAUUUUGCACAUAAUCAAGGUUGGUGUCUUGACAAGCUGCUAGUUUAAUUGUCUGAGCGUAUUGCAAAUUGUGUCAAAAAUGGUCUAAUUUUAAAUAUGAUUGUGUUACUGAAGCUGCUACCAAGGUUAACAAAUUGUAAAUGGCUUCAUUCCCAUAGCAUGUAUGAGAAAACUAUUCACAUCCUGCGUCCUUCUAAUUUGUUGUGCAUGUUCUAACUUCACUACCACUUAAAGAAAGUCUAGAGACUGCUUCCUAACCAAGAACAGAACUCUGCAGUAUUUCUAGUUUAUAUGUUUUUCUUGUGCCACCACCAAACUGUGCAUUAGUAGCACCAACUAAUUAUAACCAUGUGUGUGUGUGUUUAAUGUGUGGUUGUGGUUUGGGAUAUACCUUCUGCCAACUUAAUGUGUGGUUGGAUGCCAUGUUCUGAGCAUUCCCAAGAAACUUCUUUCCUCUCAAAUUUCUGGUUUGCAGAAGGAUCAGGACCCAAAUGGAAAAUUCCGCUGCUGUGGAUGCAAAACAGGUGAGGAGGGAGUAUGGUACUGGUCCAAGGUUUUUGAUACAUUAAUGCUGCAGCCUUGGUAAUGGACACUAUUCUUGGAGGUCAACUUGCGACCUCUAUUGUUCAACCAACACUAUUCCUGGAGAUCGACACUCUUUAAUAUUAUCAUUUGAGGGCUUUGUAGCAUGCCAAUUAAGAAAUGGGUGUAUAAUAUAUGCUUUGCUUUAGUUGCUAAUAGUCUUUCUUUUUAUGUCCUGGACUCUUGAUUCACUCUUCCCCUAAAGAUUAACAGCUUGCAAGUGGAUUUCAUGUGUAGCUUGGCAAUGCUGUUGCUUCUUAACAUUUGUUCUGCCUUCCUUGCAUAGUCUAA